GCAUUGGUGGUUCAGUGGUAGAAUUCUCGCCUGCCACGCGGGAGGCCUGGGUUAGAUUCCUGGCCAAUGCA
rnacentral:tRNA from 2 species